UACAGCCCGUGAAUAUUUUUGAGUAUUUUCCAAAGAAUUUCACCCAUACAGCUCAUGAAUGUUUCAAAGAAGAACAAGGCUUCUCACCCAUACUAGUCCACAUUCUGCCUGAUUAUGUUCAUCUUGGGCCUGACUUUUUUGGAAUUCCUUGGAAGAUUAUUAUUAUUGCUGUAUACUUGGGAACUAUUACAUUGGCCAUUUUCUUCUGGAGUAUUAUUUUUCCUAUAUAUCAUCCAC